rnacentral:rRNA from 1 species
CAGUCGCCACGGUAAUACGUAGGUGGCAAGCGUUGUCCGGAAUUAUUGGGCGUAAAGGGCUCGCAGGCGGUUUCUUAAGUCUGAUGUGAAAGCCCCCGGCUCAACCGGGGAGGGUCAUUGGAAACUGGGAAACUUGAGUGCAGAAGAGGAGAGUGGAAUUCCACGUGUAGCGGUGAAAUGCGUAGAGAUGUGGAGGAACACCAGUGGCGAAGGCGACUCUCUGGUCUGUAACUGGCGCUGAGGAGCGAAAGCGUGGGGAGCGAACAGGAUUAGAUACCCCAGUAGUCCCUGUCUCUUAUAC